AAAGACUUCCAUUUUCCUCUCAUUAUUAGACUUCUGUUUCCUUUUGUCGGUCGGGCAGCUAUGAGCAUCUCUCCUCCAUCUGAGGUGAAGAGGGUGUGUGCGCUGCGGCAAUCACCCCAACACCAGCAAAGGGUCUGAAACUGGCAGUUCAAUGGCAGAUAAUCCCAAGGAGUUUCUACUGUGUGUGUGUGAGCGCGCUCCAACCCAGCAUGGGGUUUCUAUCCACAGCGGAGGCAGGACGCGUGCCAGAAAUCAAGAUGGAACAACGGUAGAAAUCUACACGUCACUUUGAUUUUUCAAAAUUAAACAGGACCUCCACAAAGAAAUUGCAACUCCUCA
ensembl:lncRNA